UACGAAGGGGGCUAGCGUUGCUCGGAAUCACUGGGCGUAAAGCGCACGUAGGCGGAUAUUUAAGUCGGUGGUGAAAUCCUGGAGCUCAACUCCAGAACUGCCUCCGAUACUGAAUGUCUUCGAGUCCGGGAGAGGUGAGUGGAACUGCGAGUGUAGAGGUGAAAUUCGUAGAUAUUGGGAAGAACACCGGUGGCGAAGGCGGCUCUCUGGACCGAGACUGACGCUGAGGCGCGAAAGCGUGGGGAGCAAACAGG
rnacentral:rRNA from 1 species